rnacentral:misc_RNA from 1 species
GUGAAUCAUCGAAUCUUUGAACGCACAUUGCGCCCCUUGGUAUUCCGAGGGGCAUGCCCGUUCGAGCGUCAUUAUAACCCCUCAAGCCUAGCUUGGUGUUGGGGCCUGCUGUGACCGGCAGCCCUUAAAAUCAGUGGCGGUGCUAUCAGGCUCUAAGCGUAGUAAUACUUCUCGCUACAGGGUCUCGGUGGAUGCUUGCCAUCAACCCCUAAUUUUCUAUGGUUGACCUCGGAUCGGGUAGGGAUACCCGCUGAACUUAAGCAUAUCAAUAAGCGGAGGA